rnacentral:lncRNA from 1 species
CUUACAUUAUGAGUCUUCGGUUCAAGAACCAGUAUUUCCUCCGACUUCUAUCAUAUCCAAUAGGUUCAUGUCGAAUAUAUGGUUUAUUUUUUUGGAUUUCAGCAACACAGUCAGUCACACCAGGCACCUUGUGUGCUACACAGACUUCACACUGCCACUCGUCCUCUGGCACCUCCUCAAGAGGUGGCUUCACACAUUCCAAAUGGUAUACUGCUGAACAUGUCUCACAGCAAAGCAAAUCCCCAAGUUUGUGACAAACCCUACAAUGGUCAUCAUACUGUAUCACCCCUUCAGACAUCAAUUCCUCUCGAGCAAUAUUUGUUGUAAGAAACUGAUCGACUAGAAACUGUAGAACUUUGAUCUUGUUCUCUACUGGUCCAUAUGGGUAGUCCUCUGCCUCUUGGUAAGGAAGAACGUGAUGGUACUCCUUAUCACUCUCACAGUACACCCGCAGCACCUCUGGCCACGUCAUCCCAUCUAUGAAAUACAGUGUGGAAUUAACGCUAUCUUUCAGAUCAGCAGGUCCAAAGGUAGUAUUGGAAGUGUCUUCUUCACGCAGAACUGCUUUCAAAAGCACAACAUGCAUCUCUGCCAUGAGUGUGCACUGCUCUUGGCUCACCAGAGCUGCACAAAAGUCCUCAAAGCGAAAAGGAGAUAAUCUCAAAACAGUGCCAAAGUUCCGCAGUACCUCGUAAAUGGCAAUGACAUUCAUUAUAUGCUCAUUAGGCACCAUUAAAUCCUCAGAGGACUUGGGAAAUUCAAGGGGCGGGAUGUCUUUUUCUUCCAAUAUAGGAGAACGAGGCCGAUGUACUCUUGGUUUUCGCCUACCUGUA